CAGUCGCCGCGGUAAUACAGAGGGUGCGAGCGUUAAUCGGAUUUACUGGGCGUAAAGCGUGCGUAGGCGGCUAAUUGAGUCGGAUGUGAAAUCCCCGAGCUUAACUUGGGAAUUGCAUUCGAUACUGGUUAGCUAGAGUGUGGGAGAGGAUGGUAGAAUUCCAGGUGUAGCGGUGAAAUGCGUAGAGAUCUGGAGGAAUACCGACGGCGAAGGCAGCCAUCUGGCCUAACACUGACGCUGAGGUACGAAAGCAUGGGGAGCAAACAGGAUUAGAUACCCCCGUAGUCCCUGUCUCUUAUAC
rnacentral:rRNA from 1 species